CUGAUAUGGCUUCACAGCCCGUUUGAAACAGUGUCUGGAACACAAGGUGUGAUAGGAUCUGCGUAGUGAGAACCAUACGUUUUCAUCGAUUAGCCUUGUGGGAACCGGAGGGUUUUUAUAGACUUUGUAGAGAGACAGAGCAGAGCCAUGCUUCAAGCUACCAGGAUGCUAAGGGUGGUGAUGUAAACCUGUUGUGUUAAGUGAGAGAACACACCACCUGCUUCUGCCAAUAGUGACACGAACACGGUUGUCAUUUGUGACUGGUGGGCUCAUCACAGGGCAACCCAGUAGUGCCUUUCUAAGUUAGAACAGGCUGGCUGAGGAAACCCUGCUGGGGUAGUUGAAUUCACUGAUCUACUUGUGGGCGUCCUUCUUCUACCACUUUAUGGUCCCCCAGUGCACCCAUCACUUAAUGAUUCAAGUCUCUCUCUACUUUGGUUAUUUCAUGGCAAACAGGAAUGCCAUUUCUUCUCACUUGGCUCUCUUUCCGCUCCAGCCCUUUCCUGAGACUGGCAUUGUUGGUAUCAGGACCUCUGAAACCCGUGACAUCACAUUGGCAACAGCGUGACCCACACACCUGUUGCCAAGGCAACAGUCACCCUAUUCCCAGAAUCCACUUGGCUCACCUCCCACCUUCACCUGUGAGUAAGUCACCAUCCAUAUAUAGAGGAAGGCCCCUCUGAUCUCUCUCUCUCUUUCCCUCCUUCUCUUUCCGCAGCCACCUUGUCCUUUUCUCUCUCACUAAACCUCAUAUGGAACUGCUUGGCCUGGUGCGGUCUUUCUGGAAGCACACAACGAUCACAACAGGCGUCCUAUCUCUGUCCACUACCGUCCUCUCCUCAACUCUGAAACCAAUCACAGGAAGCAUGACUGUAACGGACACUUGAGAGCAGCAUCCCCAUAAAGACAGGAGCUUUACAUGAAAGAAGAAACUUUGGUUUCUGUUUGGAAAACAGGAAAGUGUAAGAGUUUAUCCGAAGAAAAGUUUGUUUCAGAAGAUCACAAGAGCUCAGAGCUGUGAAGAGGCCUCUUUGCUUCAAGCUCUCCAUCUUAAUGUUAGGGCUGAAGGGGAAUUCGGAGGUCAUGAAAAGUUCUAUUGGUAGGGGAAGGGGCCAAGGAAGAAAGAGGUUAAACAAGAUGCCCAGUCUUACCCAUGAUCCCCACUCUUCGUCUCCUCUCUUUCCCCUCUUCCCUCCCUCCCACC
rnacentral:lncRNA from 1 species